rnacentral:rRNA from 1 species
CCUACGGGUGGCAGCAGUGGGGAAUAUUGCACAAUGGGGGAAACCCUGAUGCAGCGACGCCGCGUGAGUGAAGAAGUAUCUCGGUACGUAAAGCUCUAUCAGCAGGGAAGAGAAUGACGGUACCUGACCAAGAAGCCCCGGCUAACGACGUGCCAGCAGCCGCGGUAAUACGUAGGGGGCAAGAGUUAUCCGGAUUUACUGGGUGGAAAGGGAGCGUAGAAGGCCGAACAAGUCUGGAGUGAAAUCCCGGGGCUUAACCCCGGAACUGCUUUGGAAACUGUGCGGCUGGAGUGCAGUAGGGGUAAGCGGAAUUCCUAUUGUAGCGGUGAAAUUCGUAGAUAUUAGGAGGACCACCGGUGGCGAAGGCGGCUUACUGGACUGUAACUGCCGUUGAGGCUC